rnacentral:sRNA from 1 species
AUCUGCUGCGGACAGAUAAAAUGAAUAUGCGUAUCAAUUCCACCGGCUGUAACAAUCAACCCUUCACCGGCAAGGGCUUCUGUAGAUGCUCCUACUGUCAUUCCCGGUGUGACACCGUCCAUCACGCUUGGAUUUCCUGCUUUUCCAAUUCCUUUGAUUUUUCCAUCUUUAAUACCAAUAUCUGCUUUUACAAUACCUGUAUAAUCCAAAAUCAAAGCAUUUGUAAUGACCAGGUCCAGAUCCCCAUCUGCACUUUUAGUUUUUACAGACUGACCCAUACCAUCAC